rnacentral:rRNA from 1 species
UGAGUAACCUGCCCUUAACUCUGGGAUAAGCCUGGGAAACCGGGUCUAAUACCGGAUACAACGGACCACCGCAUGGCGGUCCGUGGAAAGCUUUAUGCGGUUUUGGAUGGACUCGCGGCCUAUCAGCUAGUUGGUGUGGGUAAUGGCCCACCAAGGCGACGACGGGUAGCCGGCCUGAGAGGGUGACCGGCCACACUGGGACUGAGAUACGGCCCAGACUCCUACGGGAGGCAG